UACGUAGGGUCCAAGCGUUAUCCGGAAUUACUGAGCGUAAAGCGCACGUAGGCGGCUUUGUAAGUUAGAGGUGAAAGCCCAGGGCUUAACUCUGGAAUUGCCUUUAAGACUGCAUCGCUAGAAUUGUGGAGAGGUAAGUGGAAUUCCGAGUGUAGAGGUGAAAUUCGUAGAUAUUCGGAAGAACACCAGUGGCGAAGGCGACUUACUGGACACAUAUUGACGCUGAGGUGCGAAAGCGUGGGGAGCAAACAGGG
rnacentral:rRNA from 1 species